UAUUCCCCACUGCUGCCUCCCGUAGGAGUCUGGUCCGUGUCUCAGUACCAGUGUGGGGGACCUUCCUCUCAGAACCCCUACGCAUCGUCGCCUUGGUGGGCCGUCGCCCCGCCAACAAGCUAAUGCGCCGCAUGCCCAUCCCGUACCGCCGGAGCUUUCCCCCCGGGAGGAUGCCCUCUCGGGGACUACGGGGUAUUAGACCAAAUUUCUCUGGAUUAUCCCCCUGUACGGGGCAGGUUGCAUACGUGUUACUCACCAGUGCGCCGGUCGCCAUCAGGCAUAUUGCUAUGCCCAUGCUGCCCCUCGACUUGCAUGUGUUAAGCCUGCCGCCAGCGUUCAUCCUGAGCCAA
rnacentral:rRNA from 1 species